UGGGGAAUAUUGGACAAUGGGGGAAACCCUGAUCCAGCAAUGCCGCGUGAGUGAUGAAGGCCUUAGGGUUGUAAAGCUCUUUCGCCCGAGACGAUGAUGACGGUAUCGGGAGAAGAAGCCCCGGCUAAUUCCGUGCCAGCAGCCGCGGUAAUACGGAAGGGGCUAGCGUUGUUCGGAAUUACUGGGCGUAAAGCGCGCGCAGGCGGUUGGACAAGUGAGGCGUGAAAGCCCUGGGCUCAACCUGGGAAUUGCGCUUCAGACUGUCUGACUGGAGUUCGGGAGAGGGUGGUGGAAUUCCCAGUGUAGAGGUGAAAUUCGUAGAUAUUGGGAGGAACACCGGUGGCGAAGGCGGCCGCCUGGCCCGUAACUGACGCUAUAGCGCGAAAGCGUGGGGAGCAAACAGG
rnacentral:rRNA from 1 species